rnacentral:rRNA from 1 species
GACGAACGCUGGCGGCGUGCUUAACACAUGCAAGUCGAACGGAAAGGCCAUGCUUUUGUGGGGUGCUCGAGUGGCGAACGGGUGAGUAACACGUGAGUAACCUGCCCUUGACUUUGGGAUAACUUCAGGAAACUGGGGCUAAUACCGGAUAGGAGCUCCUGCUGCAUGGUGGGGGUUGGAAAGUUUCGGCGGUUGGGGAUGGACUCGCGGCUUAUCAGCUUGUUGGUGUGGUAGUGUCUUACCAAGGCUUUGCCGGGUAGGCGGCCUGGGAGGGUGACCGGCCACAUUCGGUCUGAGAUCUGGCCCAGACUCCUCCGGUAGGCAGCAGUGGGGAUUAUUGCACAAUGGGCGGAAGCCUGAUGCAGCAGCGCCGCGUGCGGGAUGACGGCCUUCGGGUAGUAAACCGGUUUCGCAUGUGACGAAGCGUGAGUGACGGUAAUGGGUAAAGAAGCACCGGCUAACUACGU